UCUCCGCCGUGUCGCGUGACCGUUUUUUCUGCCUCUCUAUAUAAAUGUUUCGUGUCACUCUCUUCUCUCAUUUCCACCUUCAAGAGUCGCUCUCUUCUCACUCUUCAUUUUUUUCCAGUGUAAGAGUCUCUCUGUUUCUUCGAUAGCACUGCCACACGCCAAUGCCUCAUCUUCGGAGUAUUGUUCGGUGGUAAACUGGGUUGACUCUAGAGCCCUCUCCGGUACAAAAAAAGUAAACGAAAACAAAAACUGGAUAAAUGAUUUUUAGAGAUAAAGUGAAUGGAAAGAAGAAUGAUGGAAAGCAUACAAAUCCGUUCUUUCCUAUCAGUUUCUGGGUUGUCUUCCAUUGCGUCCUCUGUUCUCCGCUUCUUCAAGAGCGGAAUAACUAAAGAAGUUGAAGGAGCCACACAAGUUCAAGUAGAACCUCUCGUAUGCAAGUGUGCAUAAUGGAAGCUUUGCAAAUAAAUUUGGAUGGAAAAUCAAGUCAAUAUAAAGACCCUGCAUUGGCACAUCCUUUUUCUCCAGAACAAUAUUCAUUAUAUUGUCAGAUCGGUUCGGAUGUUUGAUGCCAAGGAUUUGCUAGGGGGAUGACUGGGUACAAUGACAUGGGAGGAUUGUUCAGCAGCAUGCAAAUCAAUACAAAAGAAAUACUUGGGCAAAUAUUCUUCAGUGCUUAUCUAUUCAGGGCCUUAGCUCAUCAGGUGGCAGGAGUUGUACUGGUGGCUGUGAUGGUGGAACUGGAAGCAGUAGCGGUGCUUCAAGAGAAAUUGUUAAAGACAGAUAGCCUUUCAAUUGCUUUUUUAUGAGUAAUUUCUUUACUAGUUUUGACACAUCUACAUGUGUUGUGUUAUCAGGUUUGAUGUUAUGUUUGAGGAACUCCAUCGAAAACAAUCUCAGUGGACAGUUCUUGACACCAAACUGGGAGUCUCAGGCUUGCAGUUGCUGAAAUCUUGUUGCCAGCCUAUAGAUCGUUUGUUAAACAUUUUUGGAGUGUUGUUUGGUGGUAAACUGGAUUGACUUUAGAGCCCUCUCUUGUACAGAAAAGAAAAAAGGAAACAAAAGGUGGAUAAAUGAUUUUUAGAGAUAAAGUGAAUGGAAAGAAGAAUGAUGGAAAGGAUACAAAUCCGCCUAUUUCAGGGGUUGGGACUUGGGGUGUGAUCUUGCAUCUUGACAAGAAGUACAAUAAGUGCAAUCAAAUAUAAAAUAACUUUUGAUAUCUCAAAGAUUGGUGAUGCAUUGGUGGCAGUGAAGGUUGAUGGGAAACAUCUGUAGUUGAUAUACUUGAAUAUUGAAACAGAUUGGCCAAAAAGGAUCAGUGAUACUGAUCUGAAUAAUUUCCUUACAUAAAGAGUGAUUAGGGUUACAAGAAGAAAAGGCUACAGAGUAGGCUACAGAGUCUAGAAGCCUAAGUAAUCACAUCAGGAGAAAAGUCCAAUCAGAAAAAUACAAUAAAUAUUUAAAGAAGAAGAAGCUUUCUAAACAAGCUAUUCUAACACUCCUCUUGAAGCUGGUGCAUACAGAUUAUAUGCACCGAGCUUGGAACAUAAAAAUUGAAUUUGAGGCCCCCUUAAUGACUUAGUCAUAACUUCUGCAAGUUGUUCACUGGAAUUGACAAAUUCAGUAAUGAUUUCCUUAGACAGCAACUUCUCUCUCACAAAUGACAACCAACCUCUAUGUGCUUGGUUCUCUCGUGAAAUAUUGGAUUGGAAGCAAUGUGAAGAGCGGCUUGAUUAUCACAAUACAUUUCAUUGGAUAAUCCUCACAAAAUCUUAACUCUUGAAUGAAGGAGUUUUAUUAAUGUGUUAUUGUGAUUAAAUUUAUUAUUGUUCAAUCUAUAGAUCUUCAAGACAGCUACAUCAAUCAAUGGCUGAUCAAGAUGACAUUUUGCCCUUUGAGACAGCAAAUCAUUUAGUUUCUCUUCCACCUACUGCAGUCCCUAACACAAGUAGAAUGUCACCUUCUCGUAGUUUUGAUUCACGUAAAAAUCGAUCUAAAGUAUGGGAUCAUUUCACUAAGGAAUCCAAUGAAGAUAAGACAGCUAAAUGCAACUAUUGUGAUAGGUUGAUCAAAUUUGAAAAUGGAACAAGUGCAAUGCGAGCUCAUCUACGUAGAUGCCAAAAUAACCCAGAUAAAGAAGCAAGAAAGAAGCAAAAGUCAAAUUCAUCCACAAAUGUUGUUUCUUCUCCUUCCUUGGCUAGGCCUAAAAUUGACCAAGAAGCAUGUUGGAAUGCACUGGUCAAAAUGUUCAUAGCAAUGAAACUCCCCUUUCGAAAUAUUGAGCAUGAAGCUUUGCGAGAAUUUUUAAGCAUUAUAGCACCCUCUCUUACUGUCUACUCACGCACUACCCUAGCACGUCACAUUUUGAAACUUUGGGAUAGUGAAAAAGCAAAGAUAAAAAAGUUUCUUUCACGUCAAAAUCUAUGUUACAUAUGUUUGACAACUCAUUUCAUCGACAAUAACUGGAAGUUGCAAAAGAAGAUAUUAAAUUUUUGUCAAAUCACAAGUCACUCGGGAAAGACUAUGGCUAAGAUAGUUGAGUUGCUUGAGUAGUUGGAGCUUGAAUCGGGUCCUUAGUUUAACAGUUGAUAAUGCCCCAUUGAAUGAUGUUGGAAUCUAAUAUCUCAAGAAGAGACUAAUGUCAUGGAAUAGUUUGGUUAUGAAGGGAGAUUAUGUUAACAUGCAUUGUUGUGCACAUAUUCUGAAUUUAAUUGUGAAAGAUGGAUUCAAAGAAAAUAUUGAUGUUGUUAUGAGAAUUCGUGCCGCUGUCAAAUAUGUAAAAUCUUCCCCUUCUAGGCUAUCUAAAUUCAAGGCAUGUGUUAAGCAACGAAACAUUGAAUUUGAAGGGCUUGUUUGCCUAGAUGUUGAAACCAGGUGGAAUUCUACAUACUUAAUGUUGGAGGCUGCAUUAAAACAUCAAAAGGCAUUUAAAGAUCUUGAGAUGCAAGAUAAAAAAUACAUUGAAGAGUUAGAAAAAGGGAAGGGUGUUCCUACAUUUGGUGAUUGGGAGUUUGUGCGUGGUAUCUUGCCAUUUUUAAAGUUGUUUUAUGAUGCUACUAUGCAUAUCUCUGGUUCAUCUUAUGUGACUAGCAAUAUGUACAUGUUUGAGGCCUUCGGUAUUGGAAUAAAGAUUAAGUAAAUGUGUGCUUCCAAGGAUGUGAUUAUAAGUAUGAUGGCUGAAAACAUGAAACAGAAAUAUGAUAAAUAUGGGACAAUCUUGAUUGACUGAACAUGUUAUUAUUGAUUGCUCUUGUGUUGCAUCCAAGAUAUAAAUUAAAAUUCAUGCAUUGGUUGAUUAAUCAAAGUUUUGAUGGUGUUGUGGCAUCUAAUUUGAAAGACAAAAUGGAAUAAAGUAUAAGAUGACUUUUUGAAGAGUAUAAUGGUGGGAGAAUUGAGUCUGAAGCUAAACUCACAGGAAGCUCGACUCAAUGAAGAAGCAAGUGACGAUCCUUAUGGCUACAACCAGUUUUUCAAAUCAACUGGAUCUCCUAAAUCUGAAUUAAGUAAAUACUUAGAGGAAGCCUUAGAAGAGAGUCAAAGAGAUUUGGAUGUUUUAAAUUGGUGGAAGCUAAAUUCGGGUCGAUUUCCAAUUCUUUCAAACAUGGCAAGAGAUUUGCUUGCUAUACCUGUUUCUACUGUGGCCUCUGAAUCUGCCUUUAGUACCGGUGGAAGAGUUCUUGAUGCAUAUCGUAGUUCUCUUACACCACAAAUGGUGGAAGCACUUAUUUGCAUGCAAGAUUGGCUCAAAGGGACACUUCCACCAUUGUCCUUGAAUGAAAUAGAGGAUUUUGUGGAGCUUGAUAAAUUUGAACAAGGUAUUGUCCCCUCACAAGACGGUGCUUAUUCAGCCUCCUCCAUUACACUUGAUGAUGAUUAGAGAAACACUUACAUUAUAGUUUACACUUGUGUUCGUGUCUAUGUGUGAGAAAGAUUAACAGGAUAAUAUGAUCCUCUUGGCUUGUUUGUUAUGGAUUCUCGUGUGGUUGGGUUUCUUCUAGAUUAGUAGAAGCUGGACAAUAAGGAAUGUUGUGCACUUUCUAGUUGUAUGUUUUAUUUAGAUGAAUGAUUCAGGGUUUCUGAUCACAACAUUUCCUUCUUUUUUUAUUUUUUAUCAUCUUUAAUUAAAUAUUUCAUAUGCUACUGAAAGAGUCAUAAUUUGAAUGUGAGAUGUUUCGUGUUAGUCCUUUGAAAGAAAAUCUUGUUCCUUUUCCUCAUUGUAUAUUGCAGAUGGAGUUCAGUCCUAUAAAUUCUAGUUAUCUUUUGUUUGCUGCCACAGUGCCAGUGACCUCUCUGUUCAACUUGAAUUUCGCGGUGGUUAGGUCUUUACGUUGCUGGAUUCUGCAGGUGUACAUCAUCUGAAGAGAUUAUCAAGUGCCAGUAUCACCCAUAUCCAUCUACUGCCAACAUUUCAUUUUGCUGGGGUUGAUGUUCAAAAGGAGAGAACUGGAGAUUUGUAGAUUGAUUCACGCCUCUUAUCCAUUUGGUUUGAAGCUUGUGACUAAGAUAUGUGAUACUACAAUACUGGAAAGUUUGCCACCUGAUUCAGAUCAGCAACAAGCUCUCAUCACAGCAAUCCAAAACUUUGAUGGAUACAAUUGGGGGUACAACCCUGUUCUUUGGGGCGUUCCUAAAGGCAGUUAUGCAAGUAAUCCAAAUGGUCCUUACCGUACAAUUGAGUUUCGUGAGAUGGUUAAGGUCUGAAUUUAUUACUUUCUAGCCAAAGAAGUUAGAUCCAUAAAUCCUAUUUUCUAUUUAAUUUUGUAAUGUAGAUCGUAAUACUAUUGUAUACAAUCAAUUAAAUCUAUUUUUUAUUGUUGUC